GCGAACGGGUGAGUAACACGUGGGUGAUCUGCCCUGCACUUCGGGAUAAGCCUGGGAAACUGGGUCUAAUACCGGAUAGGAGCCAUUUUUAGUGUGAUGGUUGGAAAGUUUUUCGGUGUAGGAUGAGCUCGCGGCCUAUCAGCUUGUUGGUGGGGUAAUGGCCUACCAAGGCGGCGACGGAUAGCCGGCCUGAGAGGGUGGACGGCCACAUUGGGACUGAGAUACGGCCCAG
rnacentral:rRNA from 1 species